ensembl:lncRNA
GUCUCUUUCAGGAGACUGCUCCUCUGGGAGUUUUCUUUUCUGCAAGCCUACAACGCAGGUACCUGGAUUCCAACUGCUGUCUCUGUCCACAAUAAAAGGCCAUGGUCAUGUAGCAAAAUGAAAGUGAAGGAGCUCUUCCAGUACAUCGGAAAGACCAGAAAAGCAAUUCUGUAUGUUUUUGCCUCCUAAUUUUGAUACAAACUGGGAGUAACUGCACUUAUUUCAGGCUCACACAGCAUCAUAUCCUCCUUCUGUUUGGUUAUUAGACAUAAACUUGUCUGUUUUUAUCAAUUUAGUAAUACAUCCUCAUACGUGACACUAAGACUUGUCUGAAUCGCUGGUUUUGAAUCCUUCUUUCAUGUUUAAAAUAUUACCAUUUUGCUACAUUUAUUCAUCUGGGUUUAAGUUUUGGUUACUUCAACUUUUUAUGUUCAUUUUAACUUAGAGAAAAUCAAUUGAUAAAACAUUGCAUUUGUUUACACAUUUUCAAAUUAAUAUGUUAUGUAAAGUAAUAAUGUCAGAUUGAAUCCUGUAAUAUUUAGAUAUGAAGAAGGCCCCAAUUUUUUUUUGCAUGCUUUACCUCACCAAAACUACUGAUGUAAACAAAAGGCAUCAAGUAUGAAUUUUGAAUUAGAAAACUGAACCUUCAACAACUGAGUCUGGUUGGUACUAACAUGCUGCGUCAAACCUCAUUAAAACCGCCAAUAGAGGACUAUCCUGCAUAUAAGUAUAAUGCCAUAACCCACUACUGCAGAGACAAAGAAGGCUCCAGUUCAUGGCGACCCAAGGGACAAGAUGUGCAGCUGGUCAGACAAGUACAUGAAUGAAAUUUUUACUAAAUUAGUUGUUUAGUAUUU